GAGAUCCCUGUAUACCUGAGGCCUUCUAAAGGGAACUGAAGUGUUUUCCAGAGCCAUCUCUCUCUACUGGAAGGAUACUGAGGGUUUUACGGAAGCAGCUGAGAAGUGGGCAGGGCUGGAUCCUCCUGAGCCCCCUGGCUGCAUGUUGAGCAUCUCUAGGGCGCCUGGAGGGGUUGGUUGUGCAGAGAGCCAGGAUCUCAGAUCCAUGUGAUGAGAGAAGUGCAUUUGGCAGCACUGGAGCUGCUGAUGAGCGAUGCGGUUAUCUCAGCAUGGCGGUGCUGGAGGAAGGCAGGCAGGUUUCCAUCCUGAUCCAGCAUUUCCUUGGGUUAUCUCCAUGUGUUGCCACAAUUCCUGAAGGAAUCACUGCUAUGAUUCAGGACGCUGCAAAAUCAUCUGGCCCACCCCAUGGAGCCACCUCUGCUCCACACUCAUCCUAAAGACGUCAAAGGAAGUGAGCGCCAUGGGCAGACAAAGCAGGGAGGGGAGGCCGCCUGCCGGGCAGCGUGCACAGCAGGUCAGCAGCAGCCACAGCCUCAUUUGAUAGCAAAACCAGGUCAGGUCACGGCCAGAAUUGCAGGAAACAUCAUCAUCUGUGAAGAGCUGUGGACUGCCAUGAUGCCUGCCUUCUGCCUUCUCUUACCUGAGCCAAACCAACUACAGGACUUCAGCUGCCCCUCGUGUGCUUUGCCCUGUAGGUUUCUCCCCAUCUCUGUAGCCCUCCCCUCCUCUGCUCCAACAAUCUGCUGUCCUUCUGCUCUCUAACCUCUUCUAUUUGCUUGAGCAGCACUGUUGAGAACUCAGUUUGGUGCUGGAAUCAUGUUAUUUAUGUGAGGUGCUGGGCUGAGAUCAUUGCUUUGGUCUCUGGGCUUUGCAUGAGAGCAGCUCAGCUCAGAGCCCAUGUGUCAUUCUCCUCCAGGACAGAGACCUCCAUCCUCACCCCCCUCCCCUCAUUACUGUCCCUAUUAGAGAUUUCAUUUCCCAGCUCUGUCUUGAUGGUGUUUCUGAGGAGGCAUUACUUGCUGUUAAUGCCUCUGCUCCCUCAGGACUUAGCUAAGUGAUGGGGUUAAUUUGGGAGGGGGCUGGAGGUGCAGUUCCAGGAGAUGGCAAUUAACAGGAGACAGCACUUAGGGACCUCACUGCAAAUAAAAAAACAUGGGUCCUGGCUCCUGUGGUGUCAAGGAAUGGUUUAAGGGGGUUGUCCACAGCCUGGGAACCUGGGAGUGAUUUGGGGCAAAGCAGUGUCCUCUGCACCAAUUUGGUCUUGCAGAAACACAAGAGCAUGCAGAGAAAGGGUCACAUCUCAGAGCCUCCCUACCCUAAGGAUGUGGAGAUUUUGGAUUGAGAUUUAGAUUCUGCUCAGGGCCUGCAGUGUGCUGCAAUCAAUACAGCCCAGGCUGAAGGCGAUUUAAUUGUGGCAAGUAAUGAACCAGUGCCCUGGGGAAAUGCUUGUAGAUGGAAGUCGAGGAAUUUGCUCAGAUCCAUGCAGAGGUGGGCAGUGGGAUGAUUCCGAACUUGGAGUUUUUCCCCUUUUUUGGAAGAAAAAUGUCUCUCUACCUCUAUUUCCCCUUAACAUGAAAAUCAUCAUCUAUUCUCCGUAGGAGAAUGGGCAGCUAAAUAUUACAAACUGCAUAAUUCCAGGAAAAGCUGCUCCCUUUACGCUGCAGAGAGGAAUGUGGAAAAGCAAUUUAAAAAGCCCAAGAGAAAUAAUUAUCAAAAGCCACGGCAGCCUGGAGCCGAUGGGGCGCACAUGGCAGAGCUCAGCCUGGGGCUGCCAUGGCUGAAAACGUUUGUGCCAGUAGAGCAAGUGUAGCUGGGUGCCAAUACAGCUGAAGCACACAUCAUAAAUUGGUGUAAAUGCCCUGACAGUUGCAGGAGUGCAUGAGCGUUUGGUGUUACAAGGUUAUGAACUUCUGGGAGUCUUGUAGUGAAAUACCAAAUAACCACUGGUGCCUUUUUAAUUCUGGCUCUUUUCUGACUGUUUAUUCUUGCUGGUUUUUUUUAGCCAUAACUUUCUGGAGGCUGUGGGCGAUGCUGUUUUUAAGGUGACUGUGGAGGGUGGUUCCAGCAUCACCGAAAAGCACUUUCUGGGCCCUCUAGUGGUGUGCUGUGCUGAGGGCCCGAUCUGCCUCCAAGCCCAUCCUUUUGUCCCACGAAAAUAACCAGUCAAUACACCCCAUUAUUUCUCACGAAAUGAGGAGAAAAAUCCCAAAUC